CGAAAAGAAAAGAGACGUGUUACCUUUACGAACAACGAACCAUCGACAUGCCACCUGAGAUGAUCAACCAUACGGUGCCAGACUGCUCACACUAUAGCCGCGACGCUCUCGUGGAUUUCAAGAAACACGAGAACCAAGUGUUGGAGGGAAGUCGAGACAGGUACCUCAAGUUUGUCUCAGCCUCUUACUGCGCACAGGUUUGCGAAGACGAGCCUGGACUACGGCUGCAACGGCUUCGACUUCUGCGAAGAGCCUGAGGACGUCACGUGCUUCUUGACGUCAGACCACUACACUGACGAGGGAGUCGACAUCGGGAAUUCCCCGACCUGCUCUCACUAUUCACGUGAAUAUUAUGAUGGGAAGGAUAUGAACGCUUAUUCCCAUAGCAGGAAAAGCAAGUAUAUUUACGGCCCAGGUGACAUGGCGGGUCUGGCUUGCUCCAUGUUGGUGAUUUCCAUCGCAGCAACAUUUGGUGGAAUUUAUGCCUAUAACAAAUACUUCAAGAAAUAAAUCUUCUUUAAUAUUUCAACUGAUUUACUGUUCUU